rnacentral:lncRNA from 1 species
CUUCCCAAAUAAAGACAUACUAUUUGUAUACUUAAUAGGCUAAAGGUCACAUCCUCAGCUCUAAAAAUCAUGGUAGUUCUGCUGCUGCCACUUUACACCAGCUGAGGCUUUAGCCCUAUAUGUUCCUGUUAUUGCAAAUGGGGAAUUAUGCCCUUCUGUACCACACUGGAAAUCCAAUGUCAGUAAUAUAAAGCAUCUACAUUUAUGGAUCAAAAUGAAACUGGCAGAGCUUCUCCUUUGAUGGCUAUUUCAAAUAUACAGCUCAUCACGUUGUAAUUCUUUCCCUGUCUGUGCUUAGAAACACGUGGAACACCGACAAGCCUACAAAACCCUGUUGUUCUCCUCUGUGCACAUUCUGAUCUUUUGGUAUAAAUGUACAUCAGAUCCUGAGUGCCUGAUUCCUAGAUAUUGAACUCAGAUAACAAGAAUUGCUAUUGAUUCUAAACAACAGGAAGCAACAAGUGGUGAGUCCCCUUUCUUUCUCCGACCUUAUGUGCAUUUCCAUUAUUUCACAGGCUAAGCUUUGGAGGAAACUUCCUCUGAAAGUAUAAACCACUAGAGGCCUCCUGAACACUUGAAUUGAUUUAGUUUCCAGAAAGACGUAGUCUCCUAAAAAGUACAUCAGGAUUACAGAAGAAAUGUUUCCCAGUAUGCCAACCCAGGCUGACACAUAGGCUAGCAAGGGAACCAUCUGCAGAGGAAUGUCACAGUGACAAGGCACUGAGCCACCACAGUGACCCCGGCACACAAGACUACAGCUCACGUCGAUGUAGGUGCUCCGUGAAGCAACCAAAAGCAGCUGUUCCAGCAACAGGAGGACUCCAGACACUGCAGUGUGACAGCUAA